AGCCCCUUAAGUUAGCUUUUUAGACUAGUUUCGACCUAGUUUUUUAGUGGCUA
rnacentral:tRNA from 1 species